rnacentral:tRNA from 1 species
CGGGGCGUGGCGCAGCCUGGUUAGCGCGCCUGCUUUGGGAGCAGGAAGUCGUGAGUUCGAAUCUCACCGCCCCGACCA